rnacentral:rRNA from 1 species
CGUUCCCGGGUCUUGUACACACUGCCCGUCACACCAUGGGAGCGGGUUUUACCAGAAGUAGGUAGCUUAACCGUAAGGAGGGCGCUUACCACGGUAGGAUUCGUGACUGGGGUG